rnacentral:rRNA from 1 species
AUUGAACGCUGGCGGCAGGCCUAACACAUGCAAGUCGAACGAGUUGCGGACUGGUGAGUAAUGUCUGGGAAACUGCCUGAUGGAGGGGGAUAACUACUGGAAACGGUAGCUAAUACCGCAUACCAUCGGAUGUGCCCAGAUGGGAUUAGGUAGUAGGUGGGGUAAAGGCUCACCUAGGCGACGAUCCCUAGCUGGUCUGAGAGGAUGACCAGCCACACUGGAACUGAGAAACGGACCAGACUCCUACGGGAAGCAGCAGUGAGGAAUAUUGCAAAAAGAACGCGAGCCUAAUGGGGCCAUGCCGCGUGUAUGACUAAGAACUUCGGGUUGUAAAGUACUUUCAGCAGGGAGGCGUUACCCGCAGAAGAAGCAACGGCUAACUCCGUGCCAGCAGCCGCGGUAAUUC